rnacentral:rRNA from 1 species
UAUUGCCUACGGGGCGCAGCAGUAGGGAAUCUUCCACAAUGGGCGAAAGCCUGAUGGAGCAACGCCGCGUGGGUGAAGAAGGUCUUCGGAUCGUAAAACCCUGUUGUUAGAGAAGAAAGUGCGUGAGAGUAACUGUUCACGUUUCGACGGUAUCUAACCAGAAAGCCACGGCUAACUACGUGCCAGCAGCCGCGGUAAUACGUAGGUGGCAAGCGUUAUCCGGAUUUCUUGGGCGUAAAGAGAACGAAGGCGGGCCUUUACGUCUGAUGGGGAAGCCU